AAAUCCGCUUUGAUAAUGCUGGGAUGUGAUGGGGAGCGAAAUUUAGUAGCGAAGUAGCUGAUUUCACACUGUCAAGAAAAGUCUCUAUCGAGGUUAAAGGUACCCGUACCGCAAACCGACACAGGGGGGUGAGGAGAGUAUCCUAAGGCCAGCGAGAGAACUGUUGUUAAGGAACUCGGCAAAAUGACCCCGUAACUUAGGGAUAAGGGGUGCCACCAUCAGGUGGCCGCAGAGAAUAGGCCCAAGCGACUGU
rnacentral:rRNA from 1 species